rnacentral:rRNA from 1 species
UACAGAGGGGGCAAGCGUUGUUCGGAAUUACUGGGCGUAAAGGGCGCGUAGGCGGCCUUCUAAGUCGAACGUGAAAUCCCCGGGCUCAACCCGGGAACUGCGUCCGAUACUGGAAGGCUUGAAUCCGGGAGGGGGAUGUGGAAUUCCAGGUGUAGCGGUGAAAUGCGUAGAUAUCUGGAGGAACACCGGUGGCGAAGGCGGCAUCCUGGACCAAUAUUGACGCUGAGGAGCGAAAGCUAGGGGAGCAAACGGGG